rnacentral:ncRNA from 1 species
UUAAAAACUAGGAAAAAGGAAAGUAACAUAGAGGACGUUUACAGAGAGAAAAGGAAGCUGAGAACUUUUCAUCAAGAAUUUGUGUGAAGUGCCCUUUGGAGUUGAAGUCUGAACAUAGGCAUAUCAUUUUACAUCUGCCUAAGUAAGAUUCUCCGGGUUCGCCCGUUACAGUGAUACGGCAUUUUAUGUGCCUGAGUUGAGAGGGAUUAAUUAUUUAAUCCAAUUAGAGUGGAACCGCGAAUUUUACUUCGUCUCUAUA